rnacentral:rRNA from 1 species
ACGGGAGGCAGCAGUGGGGAAUAUUGCACAAUGGGGGAAACCCUGAUGCAGCGACGCCGCGUGAGCGAAGAAGUAUUUCGGUAUGUAAAGCUCUAUCAGCAGGGAAGAAAAUGACGGUACCUGACUAAGAAGCUCCGGCUAAAUACGUGCCAGCAGCCGCGGUAAUACGUAUGGAGCAAGCGUUAUCCGGAUUUACUGGGUGUAAAGGGAGCGUAGACGGAACAGCAAGUCUGAUGUGAAAGGCAGGGGCUCAACUCCUGGACUGCAUUGGAAACUGUUGAUCUUGAGUGUCGGAGAGGUAAGCGGAAUUCCUAGUGUAGCGGUGAAAUGCGUAGAUAUUAGGAGGAACACCAGUGGCGAAGGCGGCUUACUGGACGAUCACUGACGUUGAGGCUCGAAAGCGUGGGGAGCAAACAGGAUUAGAUACCCUGGUA